rnacentral:rRNA from 1 species
UUGGAGGGCAAGUCUGGUGCCAGCAGCCGCGGUAAUUCCAGCUCCAAUAGCGUAUAUUAAAGUUGUUGCAGUUAAAAAGCUCGUAGUUGAAUUUCGGGAUCAGACUGUCGGUCGUGCCUCGGUACGCACUGGCAUUAUUGGUUCCUACCUUCUGAAGAACCGCGAUGUCAUUAAUUUGGUGUCGCGGGGAAUCAGGACUGUUACUUUGAAAAAAUUAGAGUGUUUAAAGCAGGCUUACGCUUGAAUACAUUAGCAUGGAAUAAUGAAAUAGGACGUUUGAUUCUAUUUUGUUGGUUUCUAGGAUCGACGUAAUGAUUAAUAGGGAUAGUUGGGGGCAUUAGUAUUCAAUUGUCAGAGGUGAAAUUCUUGGAUUUAUUGAAGACUAACUACUGCGAAAGCAUUUGCCAAGGAUGUUUUCAUUAAUCAAGAACGAAAGUUAGGGGAUCGAAGACGAUCAGAUACCGUCGUAGUCUUAACCAUAAACUAUGCCGACUAGGGAUCGGACGAUGUUAAUUUUUUAAUGACUCGUUCGGCGCCUUACGGGAAAC